AAUUAGUUAUAGUUGAUGUGAUGGACUUUUGCUACAUGGAUAACUUGUGGUAAUUCUAGAGCUAAUACAUGCGUACAAGCCCCGACUUCUGGAAGGGGUGUAUUUAUUAGAUAAAAAUCAACACUGUUGGUGAAUCAUGAUAACUUCUCGGAUCGCAUGGCCUCGUGCUGGCGAUACUUCAUUCAAAUAUCUGCCCUAUCAACUGUCGAUGGUAGGAUAGAGGCCUACCAUGGUUGCAACGGGUAACGGGGAAUAAGGGUUCGAUUCCGGAGAGGGAGCCUGAGAAACGGCUACCACAUCCAAGGAAGGCAGCAGGCGCGCAAAUUACCCAAUCCCGACACGGGGAGGUAGUGACAAUAUGUAACAAUAUACGGCUUUAUCGUCGUAUAAUUGGAAUGAGUACAAUUUAAAUCCCUUAACGAGGAACAAUUGGAGGGCAAGUCUGGUGUCAGCAGCCGCGGUAAUUCCAGCUCCAAUAGCGUAUAUUAAAGUUGUUGCAGUUAAAAAGCUCGUAGUUGGAACUUGGGCCUGGACGGGCGGUCCGCCUCACGGCGUGUACUGUCUUGCCGGGCCUUUCC
rnacentral:rRNA from 1 species